GGAGGUAUACAGCUCAGUGGUACAGCACGUGCUUAGCACGCACAAUGUUUGGGGUUCAACCCCCAGUACCUCCA
rnacentral:tRNA from 1 species